rnacentral:rRNA from 1 species
AGAGUUUGAUCCUGGCUCAGAAUGAACGCUGGCGGCAUGCCUAACACAUGCAAGUCGAACGAAGGCUUCGGCCUUAGUGGCGCACGGGUGCGUAACGCGUGGGAAUCUGCCCUCAGGUUCGGAAUAACAGCGAGAAAUUGCUGCUAAUACCGGAUGAUAUCGCGAGAUCAAAGAUUUAUCGCCUGAGGAUGAGCCCGCGUAGGAUUAGCUAGUUGGUGUGGUAAAGGCGCACCAAGGCGACGAUCCUUAGCUGGUCUGAGAGGAUGAUCAGCCACACUGGGACUGAGACACGGCCCAGACUCCUACGGGAGGCAGCAGUGGGGAAUAUUGGACAAUGGGCGAAAGCCUGAUCCAGCAAUGCCGCGUGAGUGAUGAAGGCCUUAGGGUUGUAAAGCUCUUUUACCCGGGAUGAUAAUGACAGUACCGGGAGAAUAAGCUCCGGCUAACUCCGUGCCAGCAGCCGCGGUAAUACGGAGGGAGCUAGCGUUAUUCGGAAUUACUGGGCGUAAAGCGCACGUAGGCGGCUUUGUAAGUUAGAGGUGAAAGCCUGGAGCUCAACUCCAGAAUUGCCUUUAAGACUGCAUCGCUUGAAUCCAGGAGAGGUGAGUGGAAUUCCGAGUGUAGAGGUGAAAUUCGUAGAUAUUCGGAAGAACACCAGUGGCGAA